rnacentral:misc_RNA from 1 species
UACGGAGGGUGCGAGCGUUAAUCGGAAUUACUGGGCGUAAAGGGCACGCAGGUGGUUGAGUGAGUCGGAUGUGAAAGCCCCGGGCUUAACCUGGGAACUGCAUUCGAUACUGCUCGGCUAGAGUAUGGGAGAGGGAAGCGGAAUUCCCGGUGUAGCGGUGAAAUGCGUAGAUAUCGGGAGGAACAUCAGUGGCGAAGGCGGCUUCCUGGCCCAAUACUGACACUCAUGUGCGAAAGCGUGGGGAGCAAACAGG